rnacentral:lncRNA from 1 species
UUAGAGAUUAAAACUGAAGGAUGCAGGGGUAAAUAUUAUUUAUUGUCUAUAAUUUGCUUUUAAAUAUUUCUAAGCCAAGUCAGAAAAAAGUGGGAGAAAGGAUAGAUGAAACAAUUGUGGCAUUUGUUUAAAAAGAUUUUUAUUCAUUGAUUUGACAGACAGAGAUCAAAAGUAGGCAGAGAGGCAGGCAGAGAGAGAGGAAGGGAAGCAGGUUCCCCACUGAGCAGAGAGCAUGAUGUGGGACUCGAUCCCAGGACCCUGGGACCAUGACCCCAGCCACCCAGGCACCCCAUAUUUUCUAUAACUGUUCAAUCCAGUGAUGGGUAUAUAAGAAUUCACCAUGCUAUUCUGUUUCUCUUUAUAAGUGAACACUUUCAUAACAGCAAACCAACUGCCAUAUUUAAUUCCUAGGACUAAUUUUCUUGUUGAAUUUUUAUAUUUUCUUGUUUUUCUUUGUCAUGUUUUCUAUCGAUCUUUUCUCUACUUUUCUCUCUAUCAUCAGUUUUUUUCACAGUGGUGAUAUUUUUUAUCUUCUCUCCUUCUUUGUGGCAACGCUCAGAGUGAUGUGAAUACAGCCUGUCUUUUUCUUUUAUUCUGUCAACACAGUCACUAAGAUCAAACUUGUCUUUCUCUGACUUAUGCUCAUGUUUGGUCUUCUUUUCUUUUUCAGAAUUUUUUCUUUCAGUCUUCUCAACAUCCUUUUCUUUAGUCUGAAACCGCCUCUCGGAUUUUUCCUUAUUUUCUUUUAUAUGCUUUUCUUGUUUUUCCAUCUCUAUUUCCUUUUCCAUUGAGUGUAACCCUGUAGAUUCUUCACUGGCAUUUGUUCCUAAAGAACUGCAUUCGGUUUCUUUAUCUAUGGGUAUGUUCUCUCUUUCUUCUUUUAAAUCUUUUGUUUUUUCUUCCCUGAAAGAUUUCUCACUUUCCUUUUUAAUCUUCUCUCGUUCUUCCUUAAAAUUCCUCUCUUUUGAAACAUGUUUUUCCUUGGUUGAUUUAUCUUCUUUUAUGUUUUUUUCCAAUUUUGAUUUUUUUUCUGUUAGGGACUCAUGCUCCAUAUUUAAAAACAGAUCGUCAGUCUCAUCACUUUUAAAAAAAUUCUCUUUCCAAAAUUCUCUAUCAAAUUCUACACUCCGCUGCAACUCUUUAGCACUAUCUCUAUUUUUGUACUUUUCCUUUUCACCUUCAAUCUCUUUUUUAUGUUUUUUUCCUAUGCAGGUUUUUUCCUAUGCAGUCAAAGUUUACAUGACUAUUUCAUUUUAUCCACCAGACAACUGA